rnacentral:rRNA from 1 species
UCCUGGCUCAGGAUGAACGCUGGCGGCAUGCCUAAGAUAUGCAAGUCGAGCGAUUCUACUCGAACCUCUCGUAGGAUUGAGUAGAAAGCGGCGGACGGCUGAGUAAUACAUAGGAAUCUCCCCCUUUCUGGGAAAUAGUAUCGAGAAAUCGAUAAUAAUGUCCCAUGGUCCCCACCUUCUGGUUGGGUAAAGGACGUAACUGUUCGGAAAGGGAUGAGCUUAUGGCCUAUCAGGUAGUUGGUGAGGUAAAGGCUCACCAAGCCGAUGACGGGUAGCUGGCUUUAGUGAGUGGUCAGCCAGAGGGGGACUGAGACACGGCCCCCACUCCUACGGGAGGCAGCAAUUAGGAAUAGUCGGCAAUGGGCGAAAGCCUGACCGCGCAAUGCCGCGUGUAGGAAGAAGUUCGAAAGAAUGUAAACUACUGUGGUAGGGGAAGAAGUUAGUUUAGCACAUCGAAUGUUCGUGAUAAGAAGUGAGGGGUUGACGGUACCCUACUAGAAAGGAGCCGCUAACUUCGUGCCAGAAGCGUCGGUAAUACGGGGGCUCCAAGCGUUAUCCGGUGUUAUUGGGCGUAAAGCGUGUGUAGGCGGAUAUAAUAGUCAUAUGUUAAAUCAUCUCGCUCAACGGGAUGGCCGCAUAUGAAACGUUAUAUCUAGAGGUAGGUAGAGGUUAGCGGAACUCAUGGUGUAGCAGUGGAAUGCAUUGAUAUCAUGGGGAACACCAAAGGCGAAGGCAGCUAACUGGGCCUUAUCUGACGCUGAGACACGAAAGCGUGGGUAGCGAACGGGAUUAGAUACCCCGGUAGUCCACGCCGUAAACGAUGUGCACUAAUCAUUGGGAGUUUCGACCCUCUCAGUGUUGUAGCUAACGCGUUAAGUGCACCGCCUGGGAAGUACGAGCGCAAGCUUAAAACUCAAAGGAAUAGACGGGGAUCCGCACAAGCGGUGGAGCAUGCGGUUUAAUUCGAUAAUAAGCGAGGAACCUCACCAGGGUUAGAUAUUCUGCUGCAUACUUUUGGAAACAUUAGUAGCCUUCGAGGGUGCAGAACAGGUGUUGCAUGGUCGUCGUCAGCUCGUGCUGUAAAGUGUUCCAUUAAGUUGGGUAACGAGCGCAACCCCUACUGUGUGUUACAAGUGUCACACGGAACUGCCCCGCACCUUUUCUUGAAGCAGUCUUGAGACUGUUGGAUAAUUCAAUUUAUUUAGAAUUGUCUGAUAAGUUUAAAGAAAAGGUGCGGGGAGGAAGGUGGGGAUGACGUCAGAUCAGCAUGGCCCUUGACGCCCUGGGCGACACGCGUGCUACAAUGGCCGGUACAACGAGUUGCGAUAUCGCAAGAUGGAGCUAAUCUCUAAAAACCGGUCCCAGUUCGGAUUGAGGUCUGCAACUCGACCUCAUGAAGUUGGAAUCGCUAGUAAUCCCGAAUCAGCCAGUCGGGGGAAUACGUUCCCGGAUC